rnacentral:rRNA from 1 species
CCAAUAGCGUAUAUUAAAGUUGUUGCAGUUAAAAAGCUCGUAGUUGAAUUUCGGGAUUCUUCCGUUGGUCAGGCUAACCAGUCUGUACUAGCGUGUAGAAUUCCUACCUUCUGGGGAACCAUCAUGUUAUUAAUUUAGCGUGGUGGGAAACCAGGACCUUUACCUUGAAAAAAUUAGAGUGUUCAAAGCAGGCUUACGUCUGAAUACAUUAGCAUGGAAUAAUAAAAUAGGACGGUGGUCCUGUUUUGUUGGUUUCUGAAUCACCGUAAUGAUUAAUAGGGAUAGUUGGGGGCAUUAGUAUUCAAUUGUCAGAGGUGAAAUUCUUGGAUUUAUUGAAGACUAACUUCUGCGAAAGCAUUUGCCAAGGAUGUUUUCAUUAAUCAAGAACGAAAGUUAGGGGAUCGAAGACGAUCAGAUACCGUCGUAGUCUUAACCAUAAACUAUGCCGACUAGGGAUCGGACGAUGUUAAAUUUUAUUGACUCGUUCGGCGCCUUACG